rnacentral:rRNA from 1 species
AGUCGACGAUGAGCCCAGCUUGCUGGGUGGAUUAGUGGCGAACGGGUGAGUAACACGUGAGUAACCUGCCCUUGACUCUGGGAUAAGCGUUGGAAACGACGUCUAAUACCGGAUACGAGCUUCCACCGCAUGGUGAGUUGCUGGAAAGAAUUUUGGUCAAGGAUGGACUCGCGGCCUAUCAGCUUGUUGGUGAGGUAAUGGCUCACCAAGGCGACGACGGGUAGCCGGCCUGAGAGGGUGACCGGCCACACUGGGACUGAGACNNANANNNACUCCUACGGGAGGCAGCAGUGGGNAUAUUGCACAUGGGCGAAGCUGAUGNGCACGCCGCGNGAGCUUUUAGCAGGGAAGAAGCGAAAGUGACGGUACCUGCAGAAAAAAGCACCGGCUAACUACGUGCCAGCAGCCGCGGUAAUACGUAGGGUGCAAGCGUUGUCCGGAAUUAUUGGGCGUAAAGAGCUCGUAGGCGGUUUGNNGCGUCUGCUGUGAAAUCCCGAGGCUCAACCUCGGGUCUGCAGUGGGUACGGGCAGACUAGAGUGCGGGGGAGAUUGGAAUUCCUGGUGUAGCGGUGGAAUGCGCAGAUAUCAGGAGGAACACCGAUGGCGAAGGCAGAUCUNUGGUUCCGCUACUGACGCUGAGGAGCGAAAGGGUGGGGAGCAAACAGGCUUAGAUACCCUGGUAGUCCACCCCGUAAACGUUGGGCGCUAGAUGUGGGGAGCAUUCCACGGUUUCCNUGUCGUAGCUAACGCAUUAAGCGCCCCGCCUGGGGAGUACGGCCGCAAGGCUAAAACUCAAAGGAAUUGACGGGGGCCCGCACAAGCGCCGGAGCAUGCGGAUUAAUUCGAUGCAACGCGAAGAACCUNACCAAGGCUUGACAUAUACGAGANCGGGCCAGAAA